rnacentral:rRNA from 1 species
UUCGGGGGUACACGAGCGGCGAACGGGUGAGUAACACGUGGGUGACCUGCCCUCCACUCUGGGAUAAGCCCGGGAAACUGGGUCUAAUACCGGAUAGGACCACUGAUCGCAUGGUUGGUGGUGGAAAGUUUUUUCGGUGGGGGAUGGGCCCGCGGCCUAUCAGCUUGUUGGUGGGGUGAUGGCCUACCAAGGCGGUGACGGGUAGCCGGCCUGAGAGGGCGACCGGCCACACUGGGACUGAGACACGGCCCAGACUCCUACGGGAGGCAGCAGUGGGGAAUAUUGCGCAAUGGGCGGAAGCCUGACGCAGCGACGCCGCGUGGGGGAUGACGGCCUUCGGGUUGUAAACCUCUUUCGCCAGGGACGAAGAGCAAUUGACGGUACCUGGAGAAGAAGCACCGGCCAACUACGUGCCAGCAGCCGCGGUAACACGUAGGGUGCGAGCGUUGUCCGGAAUUAUUGGGCGUAAAGAGCUCGUAGGCGGUGUGUCGCGUCGGCCGUGAAAACUUGGGGCUUAACUCUGAGCGUGCGGUCGAUACGGGCAUCACUUGAGUUCGGCAGGGGAGACUGGAAUUCCUGGUGUAGCGGUGAAAUGCGCAGAUAUCAGGAGGAACACCGGUGGCGAAGGCGGGUCUCUGGGCCGAUACUGACGCUGAGGAGCGAAAGCGUGGGGAGCGAACAGGAUUAGAUACCCUGGUAGUCCACGCCGUAAACGUUGGGCGCUAGGUGUGGG